AGUCGAGCGAGAAAGGGCUUCGGCCCCGGUACAGCGGCGCACGGGUGAGUAACACGUAGGUAAUCUACCCCUGAAUGGUGGAUAACCCUCCGAAAGGAGGGCUAAUACAGCAUAAGACCACGGCUUCUUCGGAAGCUGAGGCCAAAGCGGGCCAAUUCACGAAAGCUCGCGUUUGGGGAUGAGCCUGCGGCCCAUCAGCUAGUUGGCGGUGUAACGGACCACCAAGGCUAAGACGGGUAGCUGGUCUGAGAGGAUGAACAGCCACACUGGAACUGAGACACGGUCCAGACUCCUACGGGAGGCAGCAGUGGGGAAUCUUGCGCAAUGGGCGAAAGCCUGACGCAGCGACGCCGCGUGAGUGAUGAAGGCCUUCGGGUUGUAAAGCUCUGUGGGGAGAGACGAAUAAGUUCCGGCUAAUACCCGGAGCGAUGACGGUAUCUCCUUAGCAAGCACCGGCUAACUCUGUGCCAGCAGCCGCGGUAAGACAGAGGGUGCAAACGUUGUUCGGAAUUACUGGGCGUAAAGCGCGUGUAGGCGGCACGGCAUGUCGGAUGUGAAAUCCCAUGGCUCAACCAUGGAAGUGCACCCGAAACUGCCGAGCUGGAGUCUCGGAGAGGAAGGCGGAAUGCUUGGUGUAGAGGUGAAAUUCGUAGAUAUCAAGCGGAACACCGGUGGCGAAGGCGGCCUUCUGGACGAUGACUGACGCUGAGACGCGAAAGCGUGGGGAGCAAACAGGAUUAGAUACCCUGGUAGUCCACGCUGUAAACGAUGAGUGCUAGGUGUCACGGGCUUUGACCCCUGUGGUGCCGUAGCUAACGCAGUAAGCACUCCGCCUGGGGAGUACGGCCGCAAGGCUA
rnacentral:rRNA from 1 species